UGGGGAAUAUUGCACAAUGGGCGCAAGCCUGAUGCAGCGACGCCGCGUGAGCGAAGAAGUAUUUCGGUAUGUAAACUUCUAUCAGCAGGGAAGAAAAUGACGGUACCUGACUAAGAAGCCCCGGCUAACUACGUGCCAGCAGCCGCGGUAAGACGUAGGUGGCAAGCGUUACUCGGAAUUACUAGGCGUAAAGCGCGCGUAGGCGGAAUGUUAAGUUUGUUGUGUAAUCUCUGGGCUCAACCCAGAAACUGCAACGAAAACUGGCGUUCUUGAGUGAGGCAGAGGAAAUCGGAAUUCCAAGUGUAGCAGUGAAAUGCGUAGAUAUUAGGAGGAACACCGGUGGCGAAGGCGGCUUACUGGACUGUAACUGACGUUGAGGCUCGAAAGCGUGGGGAGCAAACA
rnacentral:rRNA from 1 species